rnacentral:rRNA from 1 species
UACAGAGGUGGCAAGCGUUGUUCGGAAUUACUGGGCGUAAAGGGCGCGUAGGCGGCCUUCUAAGUCAGACGUGAAAUCCCCCGGCUUAACCUGGGAACUGCGUCUGAUACUGGGAGGCUUGAGUAUGGGAGAGGGAUGUAGAAUUCCAGGUGUAGCGGUGAAAUGCGUAGAUAUCUGGAGGAACACCAAUGGCGAAGGCAGCUCUCUGGGACGGUACUGACGCUGAGACGCGAAAGCGGUGGGGAGCGAACAGG